rnacentral:lncRNA from 1 species
GACUCUGAUUCACCGUUUAGAGAGCACUCACUGGUUUUCUCUUCCUGGGCCGUGAAAGAAGCACCUGACUUGCCGCCUUCCCUCCUUUGCCUGUCCAAAGGUGAAUGAUAUGAGUCGGGCAGUGUGCAUGUCUUCCCAGAAGAAAAAAUGAGGCUCAGAUGUGACUCAGUGUCCCCGUUCCAGGAAGGUGCAGAGUGCUGACAGCCAUGCCCUGGAGCUUGCACUUGCCAGUGCUUCUCUCAGAACUGACUCCUGAGGGAAGGCAAGUGUUUGAACUGACUUUCUCCAAGGUUCUCGCUCUUAGGACGAUGCAGGUGGAGUUAUCUGUGAUUCUCCCUGUAGGUCACAGUGUCUCUGGGAUGCCUUCCCCUUCCUUGACCUCCAUGGGGCCUUCCUCAGCUGAUCACUCACUGUUCCUGCCUCCCAGCCGAUGGCUCUGAUUCUCAAUGACUUCUGCAUAGUGAAUGCUGUCAGGCAAUCUUCCUGGAGUAUCUCCUUCACGACAUUGCUCCUUCUGCCUGAGAAUCUGUAACGAGCACGGAAGGUCUCUGGAUGUUGUGGGGACACGCUGGGUUGUUCUGAUGGGCCUUUUGGGGGCUCCUGUCC